rfam:Capsicum annuum cultivar Zunla-1 chromosome 7, whole genome shotgun sequence
AAGAGAAGAGCAUGUCAAGGUAGCCAAGGAGACUGCCUGAAACCAAACUAAAAGGUAACAAUUAAACAACCUUUAGACAAUGGAGCAGGCAAGUCAUCCUUGGCUACUAAACAAUAUGACUCUCCUCG